rnacentral:rRNA from 1 species
CGGCGGACGGCUGAGUAACACGUAGGAACGUACCCCAAAGUGAGGGAUAAGCACCAGAAAUGGUGUCUAAUACCGCAUGUGGCCUUCGGGCUAAAGCUCCGGCGCUUUGGGAACGGCCUGCGUAUGAUUAGUUUGUUGGUGAGGUAAUGGCUCACCAAGACUACGAUCAUUAGCUGGUCUGAGAGGAUGAUCAGCCAGACUGGAACUGAGAACGGUCCAG